ACCGGAGACGGAAGGAGUGCUUUUAUUAGAUCAAAACCAAUCGGUGGCGAGGGUUUACUCUUGUCAUCGUACAACUUGGUGACUCUGAAUAACUUUAUGCUGAUCGCAGGGUCUUAGCACCGGCGACGCAUCUUUCAAAUGUCUGCCUUAUCAACUGUCGAUGGUAGGUUCUGCGCCUACCAUGGUUGUAACGGGUAACGGGGAAUCAGGGUUCGAUUCCGGAGAGGGAGCCUGAGAAACGGCUACCACAUCCAAGGAAGGCAGCAGGCGCGCAAAUUACCCACUCCCGGCACGGGGAGGUAGUGACGAAAAAUAACGAUACGGGACUCAUCCGAGGCCCCGUAAUCGGAAUGAGUACACUCUAAACCCUUUAACGAGGAUCAAUUGGAGGGCAAGUCUGGUGCCAGCAGCCGCGGUAAUUCCAGCUCCAAUAGCGUAUAUUAAAGUUGUUGCGGUUAAAAAGCUCGUAGUCGAAUUUGUGUCCCGCGCCGCCGGUUCAUCGUCCGCGGUGUUAACUAGCGUGCCGCGGGACGUCCUGCCGGUGGGCUAGCUCCCUUUGUAACAGAAGGUGGGUGACGUCCAACUCAAUCCUGCCGCGGUGCUCUUAGCUGAGUGUCGAGGUGGGCCGGCACGUUUACUUUGAACAAAUUAGAGUGCUUAAAGCAGGCUAAAACUUUGCCUAAAUAUUGUGUGCAUGGAAUAAUAGAAUAGGACCUCGGUUCUAUUUUGUUGGUUUUCGGAACUCCGAGGUAAUGAUUAAUAGGAACGGAUGGGGGCAUUCGUAUUGCGACGCUAGAGGUGAAAUUCUUGGAUCGUCGCAAGACGGACAGAAGCGAAAGCAUUUGCCAAAAACGUUUUCAUUGAUCAAGAACGAAAGUUAGAGGUUCGAAGGCGAUCAGAUACCGCCCUAGUUCUAACCAUAAACGAUGCCAGCUAGCAAUCCGUCGACGUUCCUCCGAUGACUCGACGGGCGGCUUCCGGGAAACCAAAGCUUUUGGGUUCCGGGGGAAGUAUGGUUGCAAAGCUGAAACUUAAAGGAAUUGACGGAAGGGCACCACCAGGAGUGGAGCCUGCGGCUUAAUUUGACUCAACACGGGAAACCUCACCAGGCCCGGACACCGGAAGGAUUGACAGAUUGAGAGCUCUUUCUUGAUUCGGUGGGUGGUGGUGCAUGGCCGUUCUUAGUUGGUGGAGCGAUUUGUCUGGUUAAUUCCGAUAACGAACGAGACUCUAGCCUGCUAACUAGGCGUAUUAUGACAUCUUAAAGGCCAAUCGGUUUAGGUGUGUGCGUUUCGGCGUAUCAUAUCCUUUAUUGUAUUUGGUUUUUACUGUCAGCGUACAAACAAUUCUUCUUAGAGGGACAGGCGGCUUCUAGCCGCACGAGAUUGAGCAAUAACAGGUCAGUGAUGCCCUUAGAUGUUCUGGGCCGCACGCGCGCUACACUGAAGGAAUCAGCGUGUCCUCCCUGUCCGAACGGAUCGG
rnacentral:rRNA from 1 species